GGUAAGAUGGCUGAGGAUAAGCGGUGGACUGUAGAUCCACAAACAGAGGUUUAAAUCCUCUUCUUAUCA
rnacentral:tRNA from 1 species